rnacentral:rRNA from 1 species
UACGAAGGGGGCUAGCGUUGCUCGGAAUUACUGGGCGUAAAGCGCACGUAGGCGGCUUUCUAAGUCGGGGGUGAAAUCCUGGAGCUCAACUCCAGAACUGCCUUUGAUACUGAGGAUCUUGAGUUCGGGAGAGGUGAGUGGAACUGCGAGUGUAGAGGUGAAAUUCGUAGAUAUUCGCAAGAACACCAGUGGCGAAGGCGGCUCACUGGCCCGAUACUGACGCUGAGGCACGAAAGCUGGGGGAGCAAACAGG